rnacentral:rRNA from 1 species
GGAGGAUCCAAGCGUUAUCCGGAUUUAUUGGGUUUAAAGGGUGCGUAGGCGGCCUGUUAAGUCAGGGGUGAAAGACGGUAGCUCAACUAUCGCAGUGCCCUUGAUACUGAUGGGCUUGAAUGGACUAGAGGUAGGCGGAAUGAGACAAGUAGCGGUGAAAUGCAUAGAUAUGUCUCAGAACACCGAUUGCGAAGGCAGCUUACUAUGGUCUUAUUGACGCUGAGGCACGAAAGCGUGGGGAUCAAACAGGAUUAGAUACCCUGGUAGUCCACGCCCUAAACGAUGAACACUCGCUGKUUGGCGAUACACAGUCAGCGGCUAARCSAAAAGCGUUAAKUGUUCCMCCUGGGGGAGUACGCUCGCAAGARUG